UUACACCACAAGGUGGCAAUUAUGGCUACUAAUGAAGGGAGGCAAGCUCUCCCAGAGAUUCCAUUCAGAGGGACUUGUUAUUAUUGCAACAGAAGUGGUCAUAGACAGAGUGAUUGUAGAAAGGCAAAGAGAGAUCAAAGGAUAACUGAGGGAUGGCAGGAUAAUCCUGUUCCCUCAAGGCCUUUCAAACAUAGAAUUGAUCCAAAAACUUAUGAAAAGACUGACCGAAAUAACCCCCCAGAUAAGACAGAUCAGGGACACCAU